CUAGAACAAAGGCAGUGCUGGCCACUGGUGUUGGUGCUGCGUGAGGGAAGGAGUGGGGUCGUCGUCGUCUCCAGUUCAAUCCCUGUGAGUCCUGUGCUGCUGCUGUGAGGAAGAGAGGAAGGACAAAGAGCUUGAGACCUGCGUUUGUCAAUGCCUGGCUCCAAAGCAGUGAGAACUUCUACUCACACAGAAGGACCUGGGAUCCAUAGGCAGGUUCCUGCUGGAGAGAAAGCAUGCCUCCAGGACCAUGCCCAAACUGUGGACACUGGAGAGUUGACUGCAUCUCUUUGCCUCACUAAGGUAGGUCAGCCCCCCAAGUUCCUCCUCCAUGGAAAAGUCCCUUGCAUCUUCUGGACCUGGUGGCUGAAGACUAACACUGCCCUCGGACCCCCACCUUCCACAAAACCAUCAAGAUUUCCAAGAAGGAGCCUAGGAUAAUUGUCCAGGUAGUGGGUAAGUCCGUGUCUUUCUUAAUUGAUUCAGGAGCUAUUUGGUCUAUACUUCCUGGUUACAGGUUCUCUCCUCUUUCCUCUCUAGGGCCACAUGACAGCUUACUCUUUUCUCACCACAUCAUUGGGCAGAGAUAUCAUGGUUAAGUUAAACCUUUCAACCAACUCUCUCUGGAAUUUCCUCCUCUGAAGAGCCCCCUUAUUCAAUGACUAAUAUUAAUGCUUCACCCUCCCCCCAUCAGACUCUCACGUUGACCCAAAAGUAUGGGACAGUUCCUCUCCCUUGGUGGCCUCUCAUCCUCCUCCUAUUAAGAUCCU